AUGGAUGCACGGCACCUCGCCCACGUGAAGUUCGAAACCAAAGCCGCCGGGUCAACGAACGAACUCUUCGAUCAGCUGUCGUCGUCGGCGGCGCUUUUCUUCCACUGCCUCGUUAGAUCCGCCAGCGCGGUCCUGGACUCCCCGCCGUCGCCCAGCGCCUCCUCCGCCAGCCGCAUGGCCGCUUGCGUCCGCUGCCGGAGCUCACUCCCGCCGUCCGACUCGAUCAGCCACCGCACCUUCGCCGCCACCUCAUUGGACUCGACGAUCUUCUUGUCGUACCCUUCCAUCGGCACGGCCAGCCGCAUCUCCUCGACGAGGAAUACUCUGUUCAUGCGCUGCUCCGCGUACAGCGGCCACGCCAGCAUCGGCACGCCCGCCGCGACGGCUUCCAGCACCGAGUUCCAGCCGCAGUGCGUCACGAAACCGCCGACGGCGCCGUGCGCCAGCACCUGCCGCUGCGGCGCCCAGGACAUGACCACCAGGCCCCUGUCCUUGGUCCGCUUCAGGAAGCCUUCCGGGAAGAGCGUGUCCAGGUCGAGGCCGUCGUCGUCGCCGUCGGCCGGCGGCCGGCGCUCGGCGCCUGGCGGGGGCGGGCGCCGCACGACCCACAGGAACCGCUGCCCGCUCGCCUCCAGCCCCGCCGCCAUCUCCUUGACCUGUUCCGCGCAGAACCGGCCCAUGCUGCCGAAGCAGAGGAACACUACGCUGGCCUCGGGCUGGCCGUCGAGCCACGCGAGGCACUCGUGGCGCUUCGUCGUCCCGGUCUCCUCGUCGGGCUUUAUCAGCGGCCCGAUGCAGUACAGCGGCGGCGUUGGAAGCCCGGGCGGAGUACAGAGGCCGGAGAUGAUGGCGUCGACGGCGCGGGUUUCCAAGGAGCGGCAGCUGUUGACGAGGACGCCCCGUGAGUCGUUCAUCCUUUUAGACAGCUCCAAGAAGUGCUUGUUGCUCAGGCUCUCGCGAUCCAUGACGGCCGCGGCGAGGUGA
rnacentral:rRNA from 1 species